GGGUUUAUAGCUCAGUUGGUUAGAGCACUAUCUUGACAUGGUAGGGGUCGUUGGUUCGAAUCCAAUUAAACCCACCA
rnacentral:tRNA from 1 species